rnacentral:rRNA from 1 species
GACGAACGCUGGCGGCGUGCUUAACACAUGCAAGUCGAACGGAAAGGCCCUGCUUUUGUGGGGUGCUCGAGUGGCGAACGGGUGAGUAACACGAGAGUAACCUGCUCUUGACUUUGGGAUAACUUCAGGAAACUGGGGCUAAUACCGGAUAGCAGAUCCUGCUGCAUGGAGGGGGUUGGAAAGUUGCGGCGGGCGGGGAUGGACUCGCGGCUUAUCAGCUUGCUGGUGGGGGAGUGGCUUACCAAGGCAUUGACGGGUAGCCGGCCUGGGAGGGUGACCGGCCACAUGAGUACUGAGGGACGGCCCAGACUCCAACGGGAGGCAGCAGUGGGGAGUAUGACACAAUGGGCGGAAGCCUGAUGCAGCAACGUCGCGUGCGUGAUGACGGCCUGCGGGUUGUAAACCGCUUUCGCCUGUGACGAAGCGUGAGUGACGGUAAUGAAUAAAGAAGCACCGGCUAACUACGUG